rnacentral:rRNA from 1 species
CUCAACAAUAAGCGGAGGAAAAGAAACCAACCGGGAUUGCCUCAGUAACGGCGAGUGAAGCGGCAAGAGCUCAAAUUUGAAAUCUGGCCCCUCCGGGGUCCGAGUUGUAAUUUGCAGAGGAUGCUUCGGGUGCGGCCCCUGUCUAAGUGCCCUGGAACGGGCCGUCAGAGAGGGUGAGAAUCCCGUCUUGGGCAGGGUGCCCGUGCCCGUGUGAAGCUCCUUCGACGAGUCGAGUUGUUUGGGAAUGCAGCUCAAAAUGGGUGGUAAAUUUCAUCUAAAGCUAAAUACCGGCCGGAGACCGAUAGCGCACAAGUAGAGUGAUCGAAAGAUGAAAAGCACUUUGAAAAGAGAGUUAAACAGCACGUGAAAUUGUUGAAAGGGAAGCGCUUGCAACCAGACUCGGCCUCGGGGUUCAGCCAGCAUUCGUGCUGGUGUACUUCCCCGGGGCCGGGCCAGCGUCGGUUUGGGCGGCCGGUCAAAGGCCCCAGGAAUGUAUCGUCCUCCGGGACGUCUUAUAGCCUGGGGUGCAAUGCGGCCAGCCUGGACCGAGGAACGCGCUUCGGCACGGACGCUGGCGUAAUGGUCGCAAACGACCCGUCUUGAAACACGGACCAAGGAGUCUAACAUCUACGCGAGUGUUCGGGUGUCAAACCCGUACGCGCAGUGAAAGCGAACGGAGGUGGGAGCCCCCCCGGGGCGCACCAUCGACCGAUCCUGAUGUCUUCGGAUGGAUUUGAGUACGAGCGUAGCUGUGGGGACCCGAAAGAUGGUGAACUAUGCCUGAAUAGGGUGAAGCCAGAGGAAACUCUGGUGGAGGCUCGCAGCGGUUCUGACGUGCAAAUCGAUCGUCAAAUUUGGGUAUAGGGGCGAAAGACUAAUCGAACCAUCUAUUGCC